GAUGAACGCUGGCGGCGUGCCUAAUACAUGCAAGUCGAGCGAAUGGAUUAAGAGCUUGCUCUUAUGAAGUUAGCGGCGGACGGGUGAGUAACACGUGGGUAACCUGCCCAUAAGACUGGGAUAACUCCGGGAAACCGGGGCUAAUACCGGAUAACAUUUUGAACCGCAUGGUUCGAAAUUGAAAGGCGGCUUCGGCUGUCACUUAUGGAUGGACCCGCGUCGCAUUAGCUAGUUGGUGAGGUAACGGCUCACCAAGGCAACGAUGCGUAGCCGACCUGAGAGGGUGAUCGGCCACACUGGGACUGAGACACGGCCCAGAAUCCUACGGGAGGCAGCAGUAGGGAAUCUUCCGCAAUGGACGAAAGUCUGACGGAGCAACGCCGCGUGAGCGAUGAAGGCUUUCGGGUCGUAAAACUCUGUUGUUAGGGAAGAACGAGUGCUAGUUGAAUAAGCUGGCACCUUGACGGUACCUAACCAGAAAGCCACGGCUAACUACGUGCCAGCAGCCGCAGUAA
rnacentral:rRNA from 1 species